GACAUAAAUAAAUAGUAAUGGAG
rnacentral:siRNA from 1 species